GUUCCGAUAGUGUAGUGGUUAUCACAUCUGCCUAACACGCAGAAGGUCCCAGGUUCGAUACCUGGUCAGAAACA
rnacentral:tRNA from 1 species